rnacentral:rRNA from 1 species
AUUGAACGCUGGCGGCGUGCUUAACACAUGCAAGUCGUGCGAGAAAGGAGGCUUCGGCCUCUGAGUAGAGCGGCGCACGGGUGAGUAACGCGUGGAUGAUCUACCCUUGAGUUCGGGAUAACGGUGGGAAACCGCCGCUAAUACCGUAUGACAAUCCUUUUCAACGAGGGUUCAAAGAUGGCCUCUGCUUGCAAGCUAUCGCUUGAGGAUGAGUCCGCGUCCCAUUAGCUAGUUGGCGGGGUAAUGGCCCACCAAGGCUACGAUGGGUAGCUGGUCUGAGAGGAUGAUCAGCCACACUGGAACUGAAACACGGUCCAGACUCCUACGGGAGGCAGCAGUGGGGAAUAUUGCGCAAUGGGGGAAACCCUGACGCAGCGACGCCGUGUGAGGGAAGAAGGCCUUCGGUCGUAACCUACUGUCAGAAGGAGAACGCUAGGGUCGAAUAGGCCUUGGCCUGACGGUACCUUCAGAGGAAGCGCCGGCUAACUCCGUGCC